rnacentral:tRNA from 1 species
AUGGAAAAUUUCAUUUUUGGAAUUUGCAAUAAUGCGAUGGGCGAACGACGGGAAUUGAACCCGUGCAUGGUGGAUUCACAAUCCACUACCUUGAUCCACUUGGCUACAUCCGCCCCUUAUCCAGCUAAAAGAUUUUUGCCCACUUUGCCACUCGACUAG